GACGAACGCUGGCGGCGUGCCUAAUACAUGCAAGUAGAACGCUGAAGAGAGGAGCUUGCUCUUCUUGGAUGAGUUGCGAACGGGUGAGUAACGCGUAGGUAACCUGCCUUGUAGCGGGGGAUAACUAUUGGAAACGAUAGCUAAUACCGCAUAACAAUGGAUGACACAUGUCAUUUAUUUGAAAGGGGCAAUUGCUCCACUACAAGAUGGACCUGCGUUGUAUUAGCUAGUAGGUGAGGUAAUGGCUCACCUAGGCGACGAUACAUAGCCGACCUGAGAGGGUGAUCGGCCACACUGGGACUGAGACACGGCCCAGACUCCUACGGGAGGCAGCAGUAGGGAAUCUUCGGCAAUGGGGGCAACCCUGACCGAGCAACGCCGCGUGAGUGAAGAAGGGUUUCGGAUCGUAAAGCUCUGUUGUAAGUCAAGAACGGGUGUGAGAGUGGAAAGUUCACACUGUGACGGCAGCUUACCAGAAAGGGACGGCUAACUACGUG
rnacentral:rRNA from 1 species